UGAGGAAUAUUGGACAAUGGGUGAGAGCCUGAUCCAGCCAUCCCGCGUGAAGGACGACGGCCCUAUGGGUUGUAAACUUCUUUUGUACAGGGAUAAACCUAUUUACGUGUAAAUAGCUGAAGGUACUGUACGAAUAAGCACCGGCUAACUCCGUGCCAGCAGCCGCGGUAAUACGGAGGGUGCAAGCGUUAUCCGGAUUUAUUGGGUUUAAAGGGUCCGUAGGCGGAUCCGUAAGUCAGUGGUGAAAUCUCAUAGCUUAACUAUGAAACUGCCAUUGAUACUGCGGGUCUUGAGUAAGGUAGAAGUAGCUGGAAUAAGUAGUGUAGCGGUGAAAUGCAUAGAUAUUACUUAGAACACCAAUUGCGAAGGCAGGUUACUAUGUCUUACUGACGCUGAUGGACGAAAAGCGUGGGGAGCGAACAGGAUUAGAUACCCUGGUAGUCCACGCCGUAAAACGAUGCUAACUCGUUUUUUGGGCUUUUCGGGGUUCAGAGACCUAAGCGAAAAGUGAUAAGUUAGCCACCUGGGGAGUACGAACGCAAGUUUGAAACUC
rnacentral:rRNA from 1 species